UCCCGCCCGACACUUCCGCACUCUAGGGCCGACCGGCGGAAAAAAAGGGCUCCAGAAAGUUCCACGAGCGCCGGGAACCCAGGCUGGCGCCCACCCCCACAAGGCCCUUCGGCAAGCCCCUCCCGGCCCGAGCGCCCCCGCGCCGUUGCCGGGCAACCGCGGGGCGGUGGGAGCGCCGGGGAGGGCGGGACUUCCGGCGGGUGACGCGACCGGGCUCGGCUACAAAAGACGACGGCUGCGGCGCGCCGGGGGAACUUUCCAGAACGCCCGGUGCGAGGCGGAGGAGCCGCGACCCGAGCUGCGCACAGCAACGCGCUCCCUCCCGCUCCCCCGCGCCGGCCUCGGCCCGCUCAUCGGCUGCAGCCAAAGGGGGAA